rnacentral:lncRNA from 1 species
GCAUUCGGGUGCCGAAAUGCACCCAUUUUGCAUCAUUUUUCGUUCCGGAACCGAAUGCUCAAAAACACUCCCAAACAUGUUCUAGGGUAUAAUUAGGAAUAUUGCAUGCGUUCGUUGCGAAAAAAUCCACCCGAGUUUCGCUACCUGGCAAUAUGCAUUCGGGUGCCGAAAUGCACCCGUUUUGCAUCAUUUUUCGUUCCGGAACCGAAUGCUCAAAAACACUCCCAAACAUGUUUUAGGGUAUAAUUAGGAAGAUUGCAUGCGUUCGUUGCGAAAAAAUCCACUCGAGUUUCGCUACCCGGCAAUAUGCAAUCGGGUGCCGAAAUGCACCCGUUUUGCAUCAUUUUUCGUUCCGGAACCGAAUGCUCAAAAACACUCCCAAACAUGUUCUAGGGUAUAAUUAGGAAGAUUGCAUGCGUUCGUUGCGAAAAAAUCCACCCGAGUUUCGCUACCCGGCAAUAUGCAAUCGGGUGCCGAAAUGCACCCGUUUUGCAUCAUUUUUCGUUCCGGAACCGAAUGCUAAAAAACACUCCCAAACAUGUUCUAGGGUAUAAUUAUGAAGAUUGCAUGCGUUCGUUGCGAAAAAAUCCACCCGAGUUUCGCUACCCGGCAAUAUGCAUUCGGGUACCGAAAUGCACCCGUAUUGCAUCAUUUUUCGUUCCGGAACCGAAUGCUCAAAAACACUACCAAACAUGUUCUAGGGUAUAAUUAUGAAGAUUGCAUGCGUUCGUUGCGAAAAAAUCUAAUCGAGUUUCGCUACACGGAAAAAGUGCAUUCGGGUGCCGAAAUGCACCCGUUUUGCAUCAUUUUUCGUUCCGGAACCGAAUGCUCAAAAACACUCCCAAACAUGUUCUAGGGUAUAAUUAUGAAGAUUGCAUGCGUUCGUUGCGAAAAAAUCCACCCGAGUUUCGCUACACGGAAAAAGUGCAUUCGGGUGCCGAAAUGCACCCGUUUUGCAUCAUUUUUCGUUCCGGAACCGAAUGCUCAAAAACACUCCCAAACAUGUUUUAGGGUAUAAUUAGGAAGAUUGCAUGCGUUCGUUGCGAAAAAAUCCACUCGAGUUUCGCUACCCGGCAAUAUGCAUUCGGGUGCCGAAAUGCACCCGUUUUGCAUCAUUUUUCAUUCCGGAACCGAAUGCUCAAAAACACUCCCAAACAUGUUCUAGGGUAUAAUUAUGAAGAUUGCAUGCGUUCGUUGCGAAAAAAUCCACCCGAGUUUCGCUACCCGGCAAUAUGCAUUCGGGUACCGAAAUGCACCCGUUUUGCAUCAUUUUUCGUUCCGGAACCGAAUGCUAAAAAACACUCCCAAACAUGUUCUAGGGUAUAAUUAUGAAGAUUGCAUGCGUUCGUUGCGAAAAAAUCCACCCGAGUUUCGCUACCCGGCAAUAUGCAUUCGGGUGCCGAAAUGCACCCGUUUUGCAUCAUUUUUCGUUCCGGAACCGAAUACUCAAAAACAAACUCCCAAACAUGUUCUAGUGUAUAGUUAGGAAGAUUGGAUGCGUUCGUUGCGAGAAAAUCCACCCGAGUUUCGCUACCCGGAAAUAGUGCAUUCGGGUGCCGAAAUGCACCCAUUUUGCAUCAUUUUUCGUUCCGGAACCGAAUGCUCAAAAACACUCCCAAACAUGUUCUAGGGUAUAAUUAGGAAUAUUGCAUGCGUUCGUUGCGAAAAAAUCCACCCGAGUUUCGCUACCCGGCAAUAUGCAUUCGGGUGCCGAAAUGCACCCGUUUUGCAUCAUUUUUCGUUCCGGAACCGAAUGCUCAAAAACACUCCCAAACAUGUUCUAGGGUAUAAUUAGGAAGAUUGCAUGCGUUCGUUGCGAAAAUAUCCACCCGAGUUUCGCUA